GGGGCUGAUUCUGGAUUCGACGGGAUUUGCGAAACCCAAGGUGCAUGCCGAGGGGCGGUUGGCCUCGUAAAAAGCCGCAAAAAAAUAGUCGCAAACGACGAAACCUACGCUUUAGCAGCUUAAUAACCUGCUUAGAGCCCUCUCUCCCUAGCCUCCGCUCUUAGGACGGGGAUCAAGAGAGGUCAAACCCAAAAGAGAUCGCGCGGAUGCCCUGCCUGGGGUUGAAGCGUUAAAACGAAUCAGGCUAGUCUGGUAGUGGCGUGUCCGUCCGCAGGUGCCAGGCGAAUGUAAAGACUGACU
rnacentral:tmRNA from 1 species